AGAGUUUGAUCCUGGCUCAGGAUGAACGCUGGCGGCGUGCCUAACACAUGCAAGUCGAGCGAUUUACUUCGGUAAAGAGCGGCGGACGGGUGAGUAACGCGUGGGUAACCUGCCCUGUACACACGGAUAACAUACCGAAAGGUAUGCUGAUACGAGAUAAUAUGCUUUUAUCGCAUGGUAGAAGUAUCAAAGCUUUUGCGGUACAGGAUGGACCCGCGUCUGAUUAGCUAGUUGGUAAGGUAACGGCUUACCAAGGCGACGAUCAGUAGCCGACCUGAGAGGGUGAUCGGCCACAUUGGAACUGAGACACGGUCCAAACUCCUACGGGAGGCAGCAGUGGGGAAUAUUGCACAAUGGGCGAAAGCCUGAUGCAGCAACGCCGCGUGAGCGAUGAAGGCCUUCGGGUCGUAAAGCUCUGUCCUCAAGGAAGAUAAUGACGGUACUUGAGGAGGAAGCCCCGG
rnacentral:rRNA from 1 species